CCGGGCCACAGCCUGAGCCGAGAAUUAAGAGUAAUUUUAAAAUCAGCCUGUCUUCCUCUGCGAUUCGCCCGCCUGCGAAAGGAGCGGGAGACAGGAAAGGGCGGCGUUUUCCUGCUGUGAGGUCCCAGGCCGCACGGUGGCCUGGGCAGGGCCUCAGGUUGCCUGGAAAUCCUGACGCCGCGAGGCCCUGCAGGAGCCCUGGGCUCCCAGAACGGUGCCAGCGUCAGGCGGUCACUGCGAUGCCCCGUUUGGCCUGAUUCUUCAGGGGGGUUCUGAAGACCAAUCUAUUGCUGGCAAGGAAAUUCUAAAUUAGAGUUGCAGUCACAAAGAGAGACACUCAGCGUGGUCAGCCUGAGGAGUUAGGGAAGGAUUCCUACAGGAAGCACAGUUUAAACGGAGUCUUGAACUAUGGGGCAGUCACACAGGCAGAAGAUCUGGAAGGACAUUUCAGGCAGUUGGACGCAUACAUAGGCAUUCAUACUCAGGCACAGAAGAAAGGACGUGGACCCCAAAAGCCUCUCUCCCCACCCAACACACCCUUAUGCCUGUGGAUCCUUGCAGAACCUCUGCCACCUGAGCCAUCUCUCGUUACCCAGUGUCAGAAGUCCCCGCACACAAAGGACAGCUCAUCUUCUAAGGACUUAUCACAGGUCACUUCAUUUGUAUUCCUAUAAAGAGAACCAGGAAACACACAGUUGAGGACACUCAGAACUGUCCUGUCACUGAUAUCACAGAGAAGAGUAGCCAGAAGGAUAUUCAUAAACCACAUCUGACAAUAGUCUACUGCUUCUCUCAGGACCCCAAGAUGGCUUAGGAUCAGAGCUAGGAUCCCUUUUCUGCACCUCACCUUGCUGAUGUACCAGGGAAGCCCACUUGUUAGAGUCUUACCUGGUCAUCAACUCUCUCAAAAAAUGGGUGUAGUGUUUUAUUUUAUUUUUCCCAAGAAGGACACUGACAGAUAGGUGGGUGUGGGUGGCCUUUACAGUCCUUCGACCUAUCUCACUACCCACUGACCUGGCUAGAGCAGGAAAAGAGGAAGGCUUGUCUCACAUUAAACACUCUUAUUUAUUGGGUGCCCACUUUUCGCUGAGGAAUUGGAUUGACCUCUAGCACUGUCUUUGGCCUAACUCUGUUUUCGUCUUAUCUUCCCAAACCUGUUUGGCUUAACAUGGAAACUACUCUCCAAAGCCUCCAGCUGAGCUCUGUAGGGACAUGUAGGUGCUUCUGACUAUAGUCAGAUCUGGGAAUCAGGGCACUUUACUCAAAUUAGGCACUCAUAUGAGAAUCUACACUUGGGAGACUUUACAUCUGAUCUCAGAAAUGCUGUGAAGCUUAAACA